GGCUAACGCUGGCGGCGUGUCUUAGCCAUGCAAGUCGAGCGGACUUAUGGGGUAACUUAUAAGUCAGCGGCGGACGGCGGAGUAACACGUAGCUAACCUACCCUCUGGACGGGGAUAACCUACCGAAAGGUGGGCUAAUACCCGAUGUAGUCAUCCUGUAUAGGGGUGAUGAAAGGUGGGCUUCUGUUUACAAGCUCAUGCUGGAGGAGGGGGCUGCGGCCUAUCAGGUAGUUGGUAGGGUAAUAGCCUACCAAGCCGAUGACGGGUAGCCGGCCUGAGAGGGCGACCGGCCACACUGGGACUGAGACACGGCCCAGACUCCUACGGGAGGCAGCAGUGGGGAAUAUUGCACAAUGGGCGAAAGCCUGAUGCAGCGACGCCGCGUGAGGGAUGACGGCCUUCGGUGUAACUCUUCUAGCAGGAGAAGCGCAAGUGACGGUACCUGCAGAAGAAGCACCGGCUAACUACGUGCCAGCAGCCGCGGUAACGAUAGCGUACU
rnacentral:rRNA from 1 species